rnacentral:rRNA from 1 species
GACGAACGCUGGCGGCGUGCUUAACACAUGCAAGUCGAGCGGUAAGGCCCUUUCGGGGGUACACGAGCGGCGAACGGGUGAGUAACACGUGGGUGACCUGCCCUCAGCUCUGGGAUAAGCCUCGGGAAACCGGGUCUAAUACCGGAUAUGACUCCAUGACGCAUGUUGUGGGGUGGAAAAGCCUUGUGCGGCUGAGGAUGGGCCCGCGGCCUAUCAGCUUGUUGGUGGGGUGAUGGCCUACCAAGGCGACGACGGUAGCCGGCCUGAGAGGGCGACCGGCCACACUGGGACUGAGACACGGCCCAGACUCCUACGGGAGGCAGCAGUGGGGAAUCUUGCGCAAUGGGCGAAAGCCUGACGC